AGCAAUGUGGCGCAGCGGAAGCGCGCCGUACGUCUACCUAUACUUGAUUAUCAAUAGAAUUCUUAACUAACAUUAUCACAGGGGCUCAUAACCCGGAGGUCCCUGGAUCGAAACCAGGCAUUGCUA